rnacentral:lncRNA from 1 species
ACCACUCCGUCCCGCCCCUGUUGGAACGCGGAGCUGCCGAGCGGGCUGUCGGCCAUUUUGUGAAGCGGCGAAAGAGGUGGUGGCUGCUGUGGGCUCCGGGAAGCCGUUCGGGCUGGGGCUGUCGGCCGCGGGGCGGAGGCACUCGCGCGGGGGGUAACUCGGGUCUGGGUUCGGGUGCCGCGCAGCUCUCCCCGGAUUGACUUGGCCUCUACUUCUUGUUAAGAAAAUACAUCUCUUGUUUUAUCAGGU